ACAGCCGCCGAACCAAAUGUAGUGUAUGGUUCCAAGAGGUAUGCCUUGCUGCCUUACAUGUAAUACCACUCUCGUUCUUGUUGAUUCUCAAUCCCCAAACCCAACCAAAUCUUCAUAUCCUCAUCUGGGGUUUCUUGUGAGUAAACCCAGCUCGCGUUCGCUAGUUUGGGUUAUCCCUUUCGGUCAAGAUCACAACUUGUCUCACUGUUUCUUCUGUCAUCUCUUUGUCUAAACAAAUUUUUCAAAUAAGCUGCCAAGUCUCAUUUCAUUGCAUUGCGUCUUCUUCAACCUCUCUCUGCAAUUCCUCUGGACUUUUGAGUCGGUAGCAGCUUUUGUAACAAGAUAUGGACAAAGACAUCAAGGUGCAAAAAUGGACAGAAGAGAAUGAAAGCUCCAACACGUAGGAAGAAGUUUGAAAAAGAACAAUCAUAUUGCCAAUACAAGUGCAAUAUGACUGCUUUCCAAGACCUGGUUUUAAAGAUGCAUGGGAAGCUGAAAGCCGAAGAAAGAAGGUUGAGGAUGCAUCUGAAGGACAACUACAAGAAGCUGAAGCUGAAACCUAUGAACAAAGUGUAACUGAAACGAAAAAUAAUCCUGAAGAAGUUUUUCAAUCAGGCUAAGGAUGGAGCAACUGAGAUGAAUACCGAGGUUGGGAGGAAUGAAGAAGUUGGGCCUGAACAGAAUGAAGAGGCUGGGGGGAAUGAAGAAGUUGGUACAACCAAGGAAAUCAUGCAAAAAAUUAUGAAUGGCGUCAUAGCACAGCUCAAGAAAAAUGAAACAUGAGAAAAUGAGUACACUCCGGAAGAACUUGAACAGUGGGUAAAGCAAAUGGAAAAGGAGGCCCUGAUAUAUAACGGAUUUGGAUAUCAAAACAGUGAGGACGAAGAUGUUAACACUGUGGAGUACUGGCAGGAUGGGUCUACAAUAGACACUUGCAAGAGGAAUUCUGAUUACAUAGAACAGCUAUGGGAAGAAAAAGAAGAAGUGACCUGAAAAUUCAGAAAAGCAUGAAAGGACAUGAAUAAGCCAGAAUCUAACCUGAAAAUUUGAUAAUCUCAGAGAAGAAUAGAUCACUUUUAUUGUUUUGUCAACCAAUUGAGUGGCUUGAAGAAUCACGAUGUUUUAGAAUGUGUGGAAUCAGAGGCCUGAAAUACUCCAUUUAAUACUUGUCACAAGCCAUUAAAGUUUGUUCGGGCCCUCUAUUAGUGUUUACGAUCACUUUGCACCGAAGAUGACUAACCAAACUCAGUGGUAUGGUUCCAGUUUCCAAAAUUGAGCAGUUAAUGUCUUAGGGCUUCGUUUCCUCAUUUAAUAGUUCUAUGUAAUUGAAAUUAUCAAUGUUCAAUCUAAUUGGUAUCUUGUUAUAUACAGCAAGUGUUUGAGGAUAAUCAGUCUGCUCUUGACGUGUGGUCAGAUAUUCCGAUUUCAG